rnacentral:rRNA from 1 species
GGAUGCAAAAGUCGUAACACGGUUUCCGUAGGUGAACCUGCGGACGGAUCAUUCACACAGUGCGUCCCAAAGCGGUUUCAUCAUCCGUCAUCGAUCGGAAAAGCUUUUCUGGAGCGUUCUGCAUUGGUGGGACUGUGGUGAUGGGGGCUGCUGGGGGGGAACGCCAGAGAACUAGCCUAACCCAAUCAUUGAAUCCCUUUCAGUCUUCUCACAACGUACUUUUGAAAAUUAAGGACACAAACAAUGCCUAUUUUGUGCAAUUGAUGGAUAUGAUGCUCUUUAGAAGGGUGGACGUCCUCUUGCAUGAACAGGGUUGUGAGCGCAUGCUGGUGGUGGGGCUGCAUGCAUGCAUGCAUGCAGGCAGGGCUGCAUGCAUGAUGCAUGCAUGCAGGGCUGCAUGCAUGAUGCAUGCAUGCAUGCAUGCAUGCACGCAUGUAUCGUGCAUGCAUACAUGCGUGCAAUCGGUGCAACCCAAUGCAUUCCCACGAGAAUGCAUGCUGUAUGAAGUGUCUUGCAUUAUAACAAAACUUUCAGCAAUGGAUGUCUUGGCUCACGCAUCGAUAAAGGACGCAGCGAAAUGCGAUACGCAUUGUGAAUUGCAGAUUUUAGUGAACCAUCAGAUUUCUGAACGCAUAUGGCGCUGUUGGGAUUAUCUGACAGCACGUCUGUUUCAGUGUCUUUAGACUCCUUCAUAAAGUAUACUGCCAGAACAUCGGUAGUAUGGAUGAUCACUUCGAUUGUUGUGGUGGUUUCGUGUGCGCGUCGCUGGUGAUGUACACAUAAGCGUCGCAUAAAAUUUAAUGAUUUUUUCAACAUGUAUUGUUGGCUAAGAAAAGCAAUCGGUUGCCAUUAUCCUUUCGUUCACGGAAGAGAUACGGUGGUUUUUGUACUACUGAAUUGUAUCUCGGAGACUGUGGACGGGUCAUGGGAGAGCGGUAUCGAUUGUAUGUUUCUUGGUGGCAAUAGACUAAUCCUAUAUAUAGACCUGAAAUCAGUCGAGGUUACCCGCUGAAUUUAAGCAUAUUAUUAAGCGGAGGA